rnacentral:rRNA from 1 species
AGCAGGCGCGAAACCUUCGCAAUGCACAAAAGUGUGACGAGGCUACUUCGAGUGCCAUCCGCUGAGGAUGGCUUUUGUCAGGUGUAAAAAGCCUGGAGAAUAAGGGGAGGGCAAGUCUGGUGUCAGCCGCCGCGGUAAUACCAGCUCCCCGAGUGGUCGGGACGAUUAUUGGGCCUAAAGCAUCCGUAGCCUGCUCCGCAGGUCUUCUGUUAAAUUCAACGGCUUAACCGUUGAGCUGCAGGAGAUACCACGGGGCUAGGAGGCGGAAGAGGUAGACGGUACUCCAUGGGUAGGGGUAAAAUCCUCUGAUCCAUGGAAGACCACCAGUGGCGAAGGCGGUCUACCAGAACGCGCUCGACGGUGAGGGAUGAAAGCUGGGGGAGCGAACCGGAUUAGAUACCCGGGUAGUCCCAGCUGUAAACGAUGCGAGCUAGGUGACGGAAUGGUUCCGUACCAUUCCGGUGCCGCAGGGAAGCCGUUAAGCUCGCCGCCUGGGGAGUACGGUCGCAAGAC